UACGUAGGGACCAAGCGUUGUUCGGAUUUACUGGGCGUAAAGGGCGCGUAGGCGGCGCGGUAAGUCACUUGUGAAAUCUCUGAGCUUAACUCAGAACGGCCAAGUGAUACUGCAGUGCUAGAGCGUGGAAGGGGCAAUCGGAAUUCUUGGUGUAGCGGUGAAAUGCGUAGAUAUCAAGAGGAACACCUGCGGCGAAGGCGGGUUGCUGGGCCGACACUGACGCUGAGGCGCGAAAGCCAGGGGAGCGAACGGG
rnacentral:rRNA from 1 species